UUCCUCAGUCGCUCUGCACCAGCUCUGUCCGGCUCCGCACGAGGCUCCGGGGAGCUAGCGUUGAACUUAGCAGACAUCAGUGCACCCAGGCCCUGGCCCUGGCAGUGUGGGGAGCACCGGAGAGAUGGUCUGUCCGGCAUCUCCUAAGGGGCCUGGACUUGUUCUGGUCCUUGGAAUACAACCCACCGCCCCACCCCCCUCCAGGGCCUCACCUCCUAACUGGGCAGAUACUCAGAAUAGACACCGUGAGAACAUAGACUGUCACCGAACCCCCCGGCCAGUUCUACAGGCUCCCUGUGACCCCGAACUGCCCGCUGGGGCUGAUGCGGCACACGCUCCCCGGUGCACCACCUGAGGACAGAAUAAAUACGGCGUCUCAGACUCCAGUGUGUGUUUUUCAGGUGUGUGGAGAGGCUUUUGUUGUAAAUUAAAAAGCAACAUUUAUCCUGA